rnacentral:rRNA from 1 species
GACGAACGCUGGCGGCGUGCUUAACACAUGCAAGUCGAGCGGAAAGGCCCUUUCGGGGGUACUCGAGCGGCGAACGGGUGAGUAACACGUGCGUAAUCUGCCCUUCACUUGGGGAUAACCUCCGGAAACGGUGGCUAAUACCCGAUACGACCAUUCCUCGCAUGAGGUGGUGGUGGAAAGUUUUUCGGUGGGGGAUGUGCUCGCGGCCUAUCAGCUUGUUGGUGGGGUAAUGGCCUACCAAGGCUUCGACGGGUAGCCGGCCUGAGAGGGUGACCGGCCACACUGGGACUGAGACACGGCCCAGACUCCUACGGGAGGCAGCAGUGGGGAAUAUUGGACAAUGGGCGGAAGCCUGAUCCAGCAACGCCGCGUGAGGGAUGACGGCCUUCGGGUUGUAAACCUCUUUCACCUGUGACGAAGCGAAAGUGACGGUAGCAGGAGAAGAAGCACCGGCCAACUACGUG